GGAUCAUGGGUGCUCCUGGGUGUUCCUGCUCAUUUAUCACCACGAACAACCCCCAGAAGACCUCCCAGGCAGCUCAGAUGUUAUGGUCAACAGUGGAGAGGCAGCCCAUCCUGCUGCUUCAGCCCUUAGGGUGUGGACGUGGUGUUGGCAGGUAAAUGGGGGCAAGAGGGAAGAAGUGGGAUUUCCACUCACGCACGACCUGCAGCAGGGUGAGGAAUCACCCUGAGGAUUCAUCCUUCCACCCUAAUGACCCCCCAGAAGUAGCCCCAAAUGCAAGGAAGGGGUAAGGGAGAGCAGUGGGGGGCUGCAGCCGAUCCCUCAGCCUGGCAAGAGGAUUAAAAAUGGGAAGAAAAGAGGGGACACGCUUGCCCUAGGGCAUUUCCCUCCAGCAUCAGCAGUAGUUUCAGAACCUGCCUCAACAGACACGUCCGUCCCCUGGAGCCCUGCUGCACCUUGCCCUUCCUGCACCCCUGCCCCAAGCCCCACAGGCUGCUUUCGAGGCAGCAGGAUGGAGAUUGCUGCCUGCUUUAGAUGGACCCUGGCAGCUCCAUCUCCAGAGCAGCCCAGUUCUCCUCCAUCAGCAGAUUUCCAGCGGUCGGGUGGAAACCCAGCGUGAAGAUGGCCCGGGCUGUGCCAGAUGUUUGGCAUUCCUGCAAACCAGUCCGCCGGCGAUGAGUGGGAAGCAUUUGCAGACUGGGAAGCCUUCAUGGAAACUAGCGGGGGCAACUCUGACUCUCAGCCCAUCAUCCAAAGCAAGCGGUUGCGUCAGGCCUGUUGCCUGGAGACAGGCGAGCUAUUCCAGUUUGAGCUUUUCAGUCCAGAUUUCCUGUCUCUCUUUCAUUCAUACCACCAAGCCCUGAACCUACCUCCCACCAAGCAAUAACCCUGGAGAGACCUGAAAGGGAGGAGCCGCGCAGCCCGGGUCCUAGACAUCCUCCGACGCCGGCACCCAGACGAGGGAGGAGGGAUAGGGAUGCUACGGGGGAUGAAGGGACCCCAAAAACUCGCGUGAGAUGCCCGGAGAGCCUGUGGCUGCUGUCCCUGU
rnacentral:lncRNA from 1 species